rnacentral:lncRNA from 1 species
UUUCCUGAAGGCAUCGAUAUAUACUUUGAAAAUGUUGGGGGAAAGAUGCUCGAUGCAGUCCUACUAAACAUGAGGAUGAAUGGCCGAAUCGCAAUUUGUGGGAUGAUCUCGCAGUACAACCUUGAGCAAACAGAAGGUGUGCAUAAUUUAAUAUCACUCAUCUCUAAACAGGUCCGUAUGCAAGGUUUCGUGGCUUUUAGUUACUAUCAUCUAUACGGGAAGUUUCUUGAAACAGUUCUACCUGCCAUAAAAGAAGGGAAGAUAAUAUACGUGGAAGAUGUAGUUGAAGGCCUUGAGAGCGCUCCGGGGGCUCUGGCAGGGCUCUUUGCUGGCCGCAAUGUCGGAAAGCAGGUGGUUUUAGUUUCUAGGGAUUGACUCCGUCACAGACGUCCAGUUGUCCCUAUGGAAUCUUGAUACUUGUAUAAAAGGCGUCAAAAUGACUUGAUUGAGCACUUGUGGGGUUGAAAUAAGAUCAAGAAACUUAAAACAAGCUUGUGGUAGGUGUUUUUUAUUAAGUUUAUUUGGUGGCUUUUUUUUUAAGUUUAUUUAGUGUGUUUUUUUAAGUUUAUUUGGUGUGUUUUUGUAAUUUUAUUUGGUGUGUUAUUUAUGUUGUUUUGAAUAAAGAUGAUCUUAGUUUACAUAACGAUUCUCUUCAUUUAAAUAAAAUAUACCAGAUUGAAUAUUUUUUCUGUAAUUUUUAUUAAUUUUACUGUAUUUUUUAAUAAGUUGUAUCUAACCUAAUUAAUAUGGACCGUUGGAUUACGAUGAAUGAUUAAUCCAAAAGCCUAGAUUUUGACACGUAAUCCCAACGGUAAUAAUAGGAUUUUUGCUGAUUUUUCUUUUUGGUUUAAAGUUUUUUAAGCCCCAAAAAUCUAGACCUUCUAAUAGACUAGAAUUUGCCACUUGUAAGCCGUUAUUUUCAAAUUCAAAAUUUUUGAACUGUUGGAAAUCCAAUGGCCAAAAAUAAUCGUUGGAAAUCCAACGGCCUAGACAGAGCCAUGUCCCCCAUGCGGCCCCAGAUUAGCUGAGUGUGCGGCUGUAGUGCGGGCCCCAACUCUGUAUUUUUGUCGGCUCCCUAAUUGAAAAAAUAAUAAUUUAUGUGACUGACAUCAGAUCCACCUAGUCGGUGGGCUAAGCAAUUCGAGGACAUGUGGUAUGUCGAGCACUUAGGCUCCCUUGAAGCCCACUGGAUUGGGUAGUGUUAACGCUCAAAGUUUGCAGGUCAAACCAAGACGAAUUUAGAGACAAAAUUUGCAAACUAAAUAAUGUGUUACUAAUAUGAAUAGGCACGUUUAUCAACGUUUAACUAAUGAACCAACCAUCAACUUCCAUAUCCUUAGAUUUCAAAAAUUUUAUCUACACAUUUAGUCUCCUUUAACAUUAUUUGGGAUGGACAUGCUGUAACUAGAGCACAUCGAGUCGGCCAAGCGGACAUGGACACACAGGUCACGCAUACACACGUCGACAUACAUGAAUCAAUCGGCCAAGCCGUUCACAUCGCUAAUUGCUCACAUCGCAUUUACACAUUCGGCGAUCGGCCUUGUUUGUAAGAAGCGAAGCAAAUUCAGUAGAAAAAGAAUAAAAAAUGGAAGUGACGAGCAACAAGCAUGUGAUACUCAGAGACUAUGUCACCGGCUUCCCCAAAGAAUCCGAUAUGCAAUUAGUCACCGCCGCAGCCACCAAGCUGAAGCUUCCAGAAGGUUCCACUGGGGUUCUGGUGAAGAACCUCUACUUGUCCUGCAACCCUUAUAUGAGAGGCCGCAUGACCAAGCGCGAACCCGGCGGCAGUUAUGUCCCCUCUUUCGUGCACAGUUCGGUCAGUUCAUCCUCCAUCUCUAAUCUCCCUAACUUGUUUUUAUUUUUAGAAAUUUUAGCAUUAAUUUCUGUAUAUUUACAAAUGGGGCUGAAGGAUUGAGAAUUUUUCUCUUUUGGGUCCUCCUUACAAUUUCCCCUUGGUGUCUGAACAUCUCUGCUUUACAAUAUACUUAGAUUAAUUCAAGCUAGCAUUUUUGUGAUGAACGUAAUGUCAUUUUUCUUGGCCAAACAAAAAAGCUUGCAUUUUUUGUGCCUAUUUAGUAUCGUAGAAUUAUAUUUUGUUACUAAUAAUUAUCGCAUCGAAGAUAUUGAAAUGCUGUGGACUGGCAGCCUAUAACCGGAUACGGAGUGGCUAAAGUUUUGGAAUCGGGGGAUCCCAUGUUCAAGGAAGGCGAUUUCGUUUGGGGGAUGACCGCGUGGGAAGAAUAUAGUCUCAUCGCUGCCACAAAGGCCCUGUUUAAGAUUCACGACACCGAUGUCCCACUCUCUUACUAUACUGGAAUUCUAGGCAUAUUUCUAGUGCUAUUUUCACCAAAUUUUGAAGUUGAUGUCUUGGGAAAAUUGCUUAUGUAGCACAUAGCUAGUUAUCUGAAAUUUAUAUAAGGAGAAAUUAGGUUCUCAUCCUUCCUUUUGCUACUACAUUAAUUAAAAUCCUAUUCCUUUUCAAUUUUUGAUCAAGGUCUUUGGGUAUUAAUAACAUCAUUAAUUAUUUCAAUAAUAAAAUAGUUUUUAAUUUCUAAAUAUAUUCAUUUAAUGUUAAAAAUGUUACAAUUUGUAUAUUUAUAUUUAUGACUAAAUUUUUUAUCAUAUAUUUUUAGUUUUAAUUUGUACCCAUUUUUAAUUUGUAAUUCUUUUUUAACUUGUACCAUUUUUCUUUUUAGUUUUAAUUUGUACCCAUAUAUUAAUUUCUUUUUUGUGUCCAUAUUUUUUAAAGUUUAUUUGUAUUUGUACCCAUAUAUUUUUUUAUUUGUACUUUUUAUUUUGCUAAAUGUACCCAUGCUAAUUAUAUGUACCCAUUCAUGUAAAACUUUUUAAUCUUAAAAUGUAUUCAUUCUUAAAUAUACCAAUUUGUUAUAUGUAAAAUGUACCAUUUUUUAUAUAUAUAAAAUGUGACAUCCCAUAUCGCCCAGGGGAGUGAUCCUUAAAUGUAUAUUCUCAUCCCUAUCUAGCACGAGGCCUUUUGGGAGCUCACUGGCUUCGGGUUCCGUAGGAACUCCGAAGUUAAGCAAAAAGGAGGUCAGGGCACUUCCAGGAUGGGUGACCCACUGGGAAGUUGCUCGUGAGUUCCUAAAAACAAAACUGUGAGGGAAUGGUAAAGCCCAAAGCGGACAAUAUCGUGCUACGGUGAUAGAGAUGGCCCGGGAAGUGGUCCGCCCCAGGCCGGGAUGUGACAAAUGGUAUCAGAGCCAAUCCUUGGCCGGAAGUGUGCCGACGAGGAUGUCGGGCCCCUAAGGGGAUGGAUUGUGACAUCCCACAUCGCCUAGGGAAGUGAUCCUUAAAUGUAUAUUCUCAUCCCUAUCUAGCACGAGGCAUUUUGGGAGCUCACUGGCUUCGGGUUCCGUAGGAACUCCGAAGUUAAGCGAGAAGGAGGCCAGAGCACUUCUAGGAUGGGUGAUCCACUUGGAAGUUGCUCGUGAGUUCCCAAAAACAAAAUCGUGAGGGAAUGGUAAGCCCAAAGCUGACAAUAUCGUGCUACAGUGGUGGAGAUGGCCCGGGAAGUGGUCCACCCCGGGCCGGGAUGUGACAUAAAAUCUAUUCAAUUCUUUUCUAAUCCAUUUUUAAACUUAUAUGGGUACAUUCUUUUUUCUUUGAUUUUAAAAUGUAUCCAUGUCAAGUUUAAUCGAAGAAAUUUACUAAUGUUAUUAAGCUUAAUUUUUUUUUGUUUGUGAUUUUGAAGAAUGUACCCAUGUUUUGAUACAAUAAAUUUUUUGGUUAAUUUUGAUGAAUGUACCCAUGUCACAACCCGUCCCGAAAUACUUUUAUCGAAGGUGUGAAAAGACUAGAAUGCCCUUGGGCGUUGAGAUGUGUUGUGUGUGACAUGGUUUUAGAAGUGGACCAAUAUAAUUAUUUUCCUAAGUUUUUGGGGCCAAUGAGAACUUAACCUUGGUUAGUUAAGUUUUUGGGGCCAAUGAGAACUUAACCUUGGUUAGUUGUGAUUGGUGUGCAGAUUGGACUACACACACAUAUCCACAUCAUUUUCUCUCUCUCUCUCUCUCCCGUACUCCCUCUCUCUCGCAGACUCUCACUCUCUCUCCCUUCUUUGUACGGACCAACCCAGAAACCCUCUCAAACCUUGUAGAUCGAAGGUUUUAAGAUCAUUAUUGUGCUCGUGAGGACCAUACGAGUUUAAAGGUACCAUUUUCAGGUAAGGAAACCCUCGAAAACCCGUGAAAGUCCUAGCUCCGAUUUGAGGUACUAUUCAUGUGGACGUAAAAUCUUAUGUUUCAGGGAAUUUUAAGGACACAUGGAGCUUUAGGAGGUCCUCACGAGGCUCAGAGUAGUUCGUUGGAAGAAAUUGGACGUCGGGAUAGUUAGUGCUCCGCCCGUGGCCAGGGCCAGCCUUCACGUGAUCGUUCACCUCCCGCACUACACUCUCACCUUGAAUCCAAGGUAGGUGCCAGCCUAUCGUACAGACCACAAUAGAUGGUUCCCGACUCGUAGGUGACCCGCGAUUUAUCGCACAGCCUUCACGUGAUUGUAGCACUUGAGCAUACAUGUUUAUUUACACCUAGCUUGUCGUACAGACCACGAGAGGUGGUUCCUGACUCGUGUGCAGGCAUAUUAGUAAUGAGAUGAUUGAGCUCUAGAUUAAGCCGUGCAGGUCACAAGAGGUGACUCCCGGCUAGAUGGGUUAUUUAUAUUGAAUUAUAGCCUCUGGCUUACAUAUGUGAUAUUGUGAUAGUAAUCAUGGCAUGAGUAUCGGACAUGGCAUAUGCAUGACAUUUAUAUUUGGAUUUUGAGAUGUUGAACAUGAAUUGAGUUAUGGAUAUUUAUAUGUUCUAUUUUAUGGGAAAAUUAUACAGGUUUUAUGGCGAGGGGUUAGAACUUUUGAGAAAGAAAUGAAUUUCAAAAACCUUGUUUUUGCCCACUCACGUUUUCUGUUUUUCGCCCCUCCAGGUUCUAGUAAGAUUGUUCGUUGGUGGCGUUGCGAAGGCUUCCAUGCAGUUCUGACAGUUUGCCUUAAUAUAUGAUCACCUGCGGGUGUUGGCUAAUUAGUACUUAUUGCUUGACUGCACUUAGGUUUUAUGCUCUAUAUAAGUGUAAUUCACUCUUAAACUCGCACUAGCACAUUAUCUUAGUUAGUGCUGCUAGUGGUUCGGUUUUUAAUUAUUCAGAAUUUCAUAUCUUUAUUGCUUCCGCACUGUGCACAUGUCUUACGUCACUCUCACGUGACGGCCAGCACGUCCUGAUUCAGGUCGAGGUGUGUCAACCCAUGUUUAUACACACACACACACACACAAUAGUAUAUUUAUAUUUUAAUAUUUUUAAUCCCACAAAUUAUGGUUUUUUUAUUUAAAAUCUCAUUUAUAUAAAUAACUAAAAUUUCUAAUUUUUAUUUUAAAAAAUACAGUAACGUACAUAGAAAUAAAUUAUCACAUUAAUUUCAGGAACCUCGAUCAAAAAUUAAAAACCAAUAAGGUUUCAAUAAAAGAAUAUUCAUAACUAAGGACCGCAUCCAAAGUCUCCCUUUAUAUAAUCCCAUAUAUAAACAGUCCCAUUUUUAAGAUAAUUUUUUCAAUAUUUCUCCAAAUAUUAUUAGCCGAACGUAUCCAUCUAUAUGAUCGAUCCAUCCACCAAGAUCAGAAAUAAAGAUAUAUUUAUGUGGCCGGCCAUCUCGACAUUUUUUAAUUAAAAUAUAAUUGUCAAAGUGGGAAAGGGUGACUAACGACUCACGAACGAGACCAGGCCAGGCCACCACCACUUCCUCUUCGUCCCCUCUUGUCUUGUGCUUCAGUUCCCAGUUCCCUCCCUCCCACUCUCAUCAAUCUAGCAAAGUAUGCAUAAUUAAUUAGUAAACAUGGCAUUAUUAUAUGUAUAGCAACUUGCAUUAAAACGAUAGUUAUUAUUUAAAAAAAUUAGUAUUCGGUCACUAGUUAAUAAUGUUCAUUAACUGAGGUAUAAUUAUUUUUCAGAUUUUGAUCGAAAUCCCAAGCUUUAAUGUUUAAUGAAUAUAGAUGUCAUUUACGUAAUUUUUUAGAAUAUAUAUUAGUAAUAAUUUAAAAUUUUAAUACUCACAGCCUUAUUAAACUCCUAAUUAAUUUUCAAUUCAAAACAUUUCCAAAAUAAAAAAGAUAAAAUGAUCUUAACUUAAUUAGAGAGACAGACCAUUAGUUCACUCCAAAACAUCAAUAUUAUCUUAACUUAAUCAUCAAUUUCUAAGUAUUAAAUUUCAGGAUAAUAUGGGACUAAAUGUCAUUAACAAUAAACUUUAUUAGAAGUCGAACCGUGGACUUACGGGACUAUAUUCUAUUUUCUUAAUAUGGGACUACAUGUUAAAGGAGAAGCUUGAAGCUUUAACAAUGGAGGAUUUCGCACUUAGAGAGAGAAAGAGAUUACAGGAGUUUUAGAGAAAAACUGAGAAAGUAAUUUUGUAUAUUUCAUUUCACUUAGAAUUGCUUACACACUAUCUCUUUAUAUACUCUUCACAUUCCUUACAAAUUAAGCAAACUCAUAACAAACUCAUCAACUUAAUCUAUUGACACUUGACUGCACAUCAACCAUUGGAUUGACCCUGUGCCUUUAUACCUUUACAUCCCUCAUCAAUCUCAUGCUUACUAGAACUAAGCAUGAGAUUGGAACAAUGAUCUUGAAACAGAGAAGUAGACAACCCUUUAGUUAAAAUGUCUGCAAACUGCUCCUUGGAAGAGACAUGUUGUACACCCAAGUCACCUUUGAUAACUCUCUCCCGGACAAAGUGGUAGUCAAUUUCAAUAUGCUUCACCCGUGAAUGAAAGACUGGGUUAGAGGAUAGGGCGAUAGCAGAAAUAUUGUCACAAAAUAACAUGGGAGCAUCAUAUAAAGGAACAUGAAGAUCACACAGAAGUUGACGUAUCCAAGAGACUUCGACUGCAGUGAUGGCAAGUGCUCGAUAUUCUGCCUCAGUAGAGGACCGAGACACAGUAUGUUGUUUCUUGGAGGCCUAAGAAAUAGGUGUAUUACCCAAAUAAACAAUAUAGCCGGAUGUGGAUCGACGAUCAUUGGGAUCCCCUGCCCAAUCUGCAUCGCUAUAGGCUUGAAGUUGUAAUUUGCCAGGAGUAAAAUGAAUGCCAUAGUCAAGAGUGCCACUGAGAUACCUCAAAAUCUGUUUCACCGCAACAACAUGAAUAUCCAGAGGGUUGUGCAUAAAUUGACAACAUUGGUUAACAGCAAAUGCAAUAUCAGGCCUAGUGAAGGUCAAAUACUGCAAUGCACCAACAAUGCUGCGAUAGUGUUCGAGACUAUGGUAAGGUGAACCAUCUGUCUUAGAUAGCCUGUGAUAAGGAAGGCAUGGUGUGGCACAUGACUUGGCAUCUUGCAUAUCAACCUUGGCGAGAAGAUCUUGAAUAUAUUUGGUCUGAGAGACAAACAAACAUGUGUUCUUGUAAGUGAUCUGCAAGCCUAAGAAGUAAUGUAAAAUGCCCAAGUCCUUCAUAUCAAACUCUUGUGUCAGAGCUAAAAUGACUUUAGACAUAAGAGAUGGAUUGCUGCCAGUAAGGAUGAUAUCAUCCACAUAGAGUAAGAGAAUCACAAUACCAUUGGAAGUUUGCUGGACAAACAAUGAAGGAUCGGCAAAAGAGGCUUUGAAGCCUAAGCUCGGUAAGAAGCUUGUAAACUUCUCAUUCCAUGCCCGAGGAGCCUGUUUAAGACCAUACAAGGACUUCUUGAGUUUACAAACAUAAUUUGAAGGAUGAGAGGAACAGACAAAACCAGGAGGUUGACUCAUAUAGACCUCUUCGAGAAGAUCUCCAUGUAAAAAAGCAUUUUGAACAUCCAACUGUCUCAAACUCCAGUUAAACUGAGCUGCAAGUGCUAAGAUUAAUCGGACAGUAGUAGGCUUAACCACGGGACUAAAAGUUUCAGUAUAAUCGAUGUCUUCCUCUUGACUAUACCCUUUAGCCACAAAACGAGCUUUAUACCGUGCUAUAGACCCAUCUGGAUUCCUCUUAAGCUUGUACACCCAUUUGCAUCCAACUAAGUUUUUGCCAAUAGGAAGAGGAACAAAAGUCCAGGUCUUCUGAGCAUUCAAAGCAUUUAUCUCAUCUUGCAUGGCAGCAUGCCAUUCUGAGACUUGACUAGCUGACUUGAAAGAAACCGGUUCCAUAACAGGCACAAGUAAGGAUGAAACAAAAGCUAAGAAAGUUUUUUUCUUAGAAAUCCCACUUUUGGAUCUUGUUUGCAUGGGGUGUAAGCUCACAGAGGGUACAGGCAGAACCACACUUAGACGUUCUUGUUGGAAAUCAGGAUCCAUAAGGAUUGGAGACUGUGUAGGUGCAAGAUGAGCUAACAGGGAUGAUGGUGUCUCUUGUGGAGAAAUAACAGGUAUAGGGGCAGGUAUAGGGUUGGUGGAAGAAGCCAAACACUUUGGAGCUAUAGUUGGAGAUGCCAAAGACUCUGAAGCACUAGGGGUUAUAGAAGAAAACUCUGAAGCUCUAGGGGUUAAAUGCACUGAUGUAGAUGAUGGUGGAAAUGAUGAUAAUGUGUGUGAUUCAAUAACAUUGUGAAGUGUAACUGAUGGUGGUACAAUUAAAGAAGGCGUGCUAAGUGAUGGUGUAACCUGAGACUUAGAAAUAAGAUCCAAAUAAGGAUAAGUAUGCUCAUAAAAAAGAACAUGUCUUGACACGUGAAAUUUGCUAGUAAUGGGAUUAAAACAAAUAUACCCUUUAUAUUGACCAGCAUAUCCCAGAAAUAUGCACUGUGCAGUCUUGGGUUGGAAUUUGGAAGUGUUGUAGGGUUUCAAGAGAGGAAAAUAACUACAUCCAAAAACCUUUAAAUGUGUUAACACUGGGGGUUUUUGAAACAGACAAGUGUAUGGAGACUUCAUGGUUAAAACCUGACAUGGCAUUCUGUUUAUUAAGUAGAUAGAAACUGCACAAGCAUGAAACCAAAACUGUGAAGGCAAAUGAGCUUUUUGAAGAAGAGUAAGUGCAGUUUCAACAAUAUGCCGAUGCUUGCGUUCAACAAGACCGUUUUGCUCAGGUGUGUGUGGACAAGACUUGUGAUGCAAAAUGCCUUUUGUUAACAGAAACUGUUUGAACUUGUUACUGGUGUAUUCACCAUCACCAUCGCUUUGGAAAAUUUUAAUGGCAGUGGAAAAUUGAGUUUGUACAAAAGAAUGAAACUGCAUAAAGGUAUGAAACACAUAACUUUUAUUCAUUAAAGGAAAUAUCCAGGUAAACCUGGUACAUUCAUCUAUGAAAAGUACAUAGAAUUUGAAACCCUCAAUGGACAAAGUAGGUGAUGGUUCCCACACAUCACUAUGUAUAACCUCAAAGGGUUUUACAUUUUUAUUUGCAGGGUAUGAAAAAGGAAGUUUAGUAAAUUUUCCUUGCAAACAAGAGAUACACACAUGUUUAGAAGGAUCCACAGAAAAAGGAACCUGAGAUUGAUGCAACAUGUGAGAAACAACAAAAUUAGAUGGAUAGCCUAAUCUGUUGUGCCACAAAUUUGUGUUCACUUGAUGACCAAGGUAACAAUGCUGCUGUUUGUGUGAGUGAGGUGUCUUUAAUGCUUGAUUGACAAUGGAUUAUGGUAUGUAUAAUGGAAUUAGAUAUAGGCCAGCUCUACACAGUCCAUGAAGAAGAACUUUCCCUGUGAUCUUGUCUUGAAUCCAGAAAGAGAACUCGUCACAUAUGAACCUACAUUUGUUAUCUUUACAGAGCCGAUAAAUAGACAACAAAUGUUGAGAUAAUUUUGGCACAUGCAGGAUUUUCUUUAGUUGAAAAGCAUGUUUUGGAGUAUGCAAAACAGAAGAACCAGUGUGAGAUAUGGGCAAACCUGCACCACUUGCAGUGGUUAUAGUAUCCGUGCCAAUGAAUAGAGUGGCAAGAGUAAGAUUGGACAAGUCAGACGUCAUGUGGGAUGUAGCACCCAUAUCAGCAACCCAGAAUUGCUCUUGAGGGGCAGAUGGUUGAUAGGUAGCAUGCAUUGCAGUAAUAGAGGAUGGUGGAGAUCUUCCUUGGUAUGAAAAAUUGGUUCUGUGGUAACAUUGCAUUGCAGAAUGACCAAAUUUCCAACAAAUUUAGCAUUGCACUGGAGAUGAUGAAACAGUGGUAGAAGAAUGUCUCUGGAAGUAAUCAGCAGCAAUAUGACCUCUUUUGUUUCAUAUUUGACACACAGGUAUGUCAUUGCUAUGCUCAGGGCAAGUGGAAACAUGUGGUCUCACAGGACCAAGUAUGCCAGGACUGUUAUUAGGACUGUUACCCAAGAACCUAGAAUUAUUACCAAAGUGGGUUCUGCCUCUUGCUCUUCCUCUGAGAUUUGGUCCUCUAUAACCUCCAGAAUUAUUGUGAUAGAACCACCAGAAUUGUUGUUAUAAGAUCCACAAAACCAAGAAUACCAUGAUUUUCAAGAAGCAAUCGCAUUUGAUAAUGCCAGACUAAGUAAUUCGUAUCAUCUAAUUUGACCGUCACAGAGACCGACACAUUAGGAAUCAAGUGCAUAAUUGGAGACUGAACUAUCUGAAGUUGGGCAGUAGUCACCAUACUUUUGAAAUUCUUAUAGAAACAGGAGAAAUCUUGAAGAAAUUGAGAGAUUCUUGAAGAAAUUGAGAAGGUAGGGUUUGCGAUCAAAUGCAUUGCACUUUUCAGAACAGAGAUCCAAGAUUGUAGAAGAAGAAAUUCACAGAUACCAUCAUUCACACAUAUCAUCAAACAGGUCAUGUGCAAGAAACACAACCGACUUGUAGAUUAUAAUUCACCAUAUCAGAGAGGAUCGAAGAAAGAAAAUGACAUACCACGGAUUCAGGGAAGUAGUUGAGAAGAGAAGAUUGAAGAUAGCGGAAGCAACACUUGAUCAGGAUCGAUAAACGCCAUCUGUUCCCGGCGAGGAUACCAUGUUAAAGGAGAAGCUUGAAGCUUUAACAAUGAAGGAUUUCACACUUAAGAGAAAGAGAUUACAGGAGUGUUAGAGAGAAACUGAGAAAGUAAUUUUGUAUAUUUCAUUUCACUUAGAAUUGCUUACACACUAUCUCUUUAUAUACUCUUCACAUUCCUUACAGAUUAAGCAAACUCAUAACAAACUCAUCAACUUAAUCUAUUGACACUUGGCUGCACAUCAACCAUUGGAUUGACCCUGUGCCUUUAUACCUUUACACUACAUUCAACAGCAAUUCCCAUUCCAAAUCGCUCAUACCGCUCUCCUCGGCUCCGCCCGCCUAUAUAAAGAGAGGGAGAGAGAGAGACAGCUGGUAAAAUGAGAUAAGGAAGAGAAAUAAGCAGCAAUCCAUCAAUGGCGGCGAGUACAGAGGAAGUGAUCAGCAACAAGCAGGUGCUACUGAAAGACUAUGUGACCGGCUUCCCCAAAGAAUCUGACAUGCAACUCACCGCCGCCACCACCAAGCUCAAGCUUCCAGAAGGUUCAAAAGGGGUUCUGGUGAAGAACCUCUACUUGUCCUGCGACCCUUAUAUUAGAAACCGCAUGACCAAGCGUGAACCUGGCGCCAGUUUUAUGGAUUCCUUCAAACCCGGUUCGGUCAGUCACUAUAUGUGCCCUUUCCCUUUUGUUCAAGUUUGAAAGUUCGCUUCCUUAUGAUCUAUCAUGUAAUAUUAGUAUUGAAUAAUGUGACCGAGUAGCCCAAGUACUAAUCUUGUUGGACAGAUAGCCUCGUUUUUCGGAUUACAAUUUGUUGAUGUUUGGGAUGAUUUAAUAAUUUACAGUUUGAGACAACUUAGGUAUUCGCUGUUGUACUAUCUCUUUAUUUACCGUUAGAUAUUGAAAUUUGAAAUGAUGUGGCAGCCUAUAGUCGGAUAUGGAGUUGCCAAAGUUUUGGAAUCCGGAGAUCCCAAGUUUAAGCAAGGCGACUUCAUUUGGGGAAUAACCGGGUGGGAAGAGUACAGUGUUAUCACUGCAACGGAGUCUUUGUUUAAGAUUCAGCACACUGAUGUGCCUCUCUCUUACUAUACUGGUAUUCUUGGUAUGUUGCUGUGUAUUGGCUAUUGCUAUUUCCUUUGCCUUGGGAUUUAUUUCAUUUAAAAAUUUGUUCUGCCACAAGGAUCCAGCCUAUCUCAAGUCUUGUAUCUCUAGUUGUAUUCUGCCUCCAGUGACCUCUAUCAUACUAAAAAUGUGAACUGAUUUGUUGAUUCUCACGGCUCUUUGUAAACUAUAUCUUCACAAACCAAUGCAACAUAUUCCUUUUCAUAAUAGCAUUUUGAUUUGGAAGUACGGAAAUGAUUUAGCUUACAUAAUCAAUUGGUCCUAUGCAUUUGUAGCAUUGUUCUUUGAUUGUAUGCAAUUGCUGAAGUGAUCCAUCCUUAAUAAUUCAACCAAAUAUUUAGUUUUAUGGGUUUGUAAUGCAUGAUAUAUUUACUUGAUGCUACGCUCAUCUAAUGUAUUCAUUUUAUAUAGGUAUGCCUGGAAUGACUGCUUAUGCUGGUUUUUAUGAGGUCUGCAAUCCUAAGAAGGGAGAGACGGUCUUCGUUUCAGCAGCAUCUGGGGCGGUAGGUCAGCUUGUUGGCCAAUUGCAAAGUCGUUGGGUUGCUAUGUUGUUGGAAGUGCUGGAAGCAAAGAAAAGGUCAGUUAUUGCAAAUUUAGUGGUCGAUUGCAACUAUAUCUUAGAUGGCAUUUCUGUGAUUGUGAUUCAAUCGGAUGAUUAUUCUUGGUUUAGAAACAUGUAUUAAGUGAUGUAUGCCAAAUUGGCAACAGAGAAAUUUUGACUAAUCGAAAUGGGGAAAAUUAUGAGAACUUAUUGGAAUGUACAGAUAUUGGUGACCCUUUAUCUUCAUAAUCAAGUGCGUAAAAUUCAGCUUUGACCUGUUUUCAACCUCCUGCCUCAUUUAGUUGGCAAAUUGUUCGUAUCAUAUGAUACCGCAAGCAUAUGCUACUUAGUAAAUUACAGAGAAAUGUGCAUCUAUGAGCUUUUUUGGUCUCAUUCCUACAGUUUUCCGUAUUUCAAAUGACAAUGUUUUAACCAUUCUUGCUGUAUUUUAACAUGUUAUAUCAUUUCUGAGGUUAGGUUGAUCUGCUGAAGAACAAGUUUGGGUUUGACAAAGCUUUCAAUUAUAAAGAAGAGCCUGAUUUGGAUGCAGCUUUAAAAAGGUCAGUAUUUAUAUGUUGAUCAGAAUCAAACUAUUAUUUUAAAGCUUUUACAUGUGUCUUUAAUUACGAGGGGAAAGUCCAAUAAAGGCAUUAGCAAUCUCUAAAGUCAUGCUUUAGUGAUUUUAGUCCCCAAUUUCCUAAAACAGAGAAAAAGUAAGUUGAAAUGUGACGGUGGGAGCAUGUGGCUGUUGAAGAGAUACUCACGUCUUUGUCCUCUUUGUAGAUAUAUUCCAUGGUUUUCGGUGUUUGCUUAUGGUCUAAAUAUGUGAUUUGCUUACCAGAUACUUUCCUGAAGGCAUCGACAUAUACUUUUGAAAACGUUGGGGGAAAAAAUGCUUGAUGCAGUGCUACAAAACAUGAGGCUCCAUGGCCGGAUUGCAGUUUGUGGGAUGGUCUCGCAGUAUAACCUUGACCAGCCUGAAGGUUGUCACAAUUUAAUGUAUCUGAUCAUUAAACAGAUUCGCAUGCAAGGUUUCGGGGUUUCUAGUUACUACCACCUUUACGGAAGUUUCUUGAAAUGGUUCUGCCGGCCAUAAAAGAAGGGAAGAUAACUUAUGUGGAAGAUGUAGUGGAAGGCCUUGAGAGCGCUCCAGCUGCUCUGAUAGGGCUCUUUGCCGGCCGCAAUGUGGGAAAGCAGGUGGUGGUAGUUUCCCGAGAAUGAUUUCAUUAGGCUCUCCAUGGCUCCGAAGUCUCAACCUUUAGCUAUAUGGUAUAGGGUAUAAUCGUCUACUAUGAAAUGCAAAUGCUUUCUUAUGCAUUUACAAGUUUAUCUCUCUACAGGUUUGUGGCAAGCUUAUUAUCCCGACGAGGACUGUGCUUGAUCCCUCAUCUUAAUUCUAAAUAAAUGUCUUGAUUUGCUUAAUAAUAUCAAGCACUAAGUCUAGUAGAUCUUUCAAUUAUGUUUUCUUUUUUUUCCAACCUGACCCGCUUUGUCAACUGGUUGACGUGGUGUUUAUGGUGAAUAAACCAAACACAGCGUUAAGCUAAAAGAUAACGCGAACACAAUCUGUUAAAGUGGUCCACCUUUUAUCAACAUGACAUGUUAAUGCUCAAUCAAAAUUCAAAUUUUUGCCCGUGUUUGUGCUGUGUCAUAGGAAGUAAUACUAGGUAAACCAAAUUUGCAAACUAAAUAAUGUGUCAUCAAUAAGAAAUAACAUCAUUUUUAAUAAACAAUAGGAUAUAUGGAAAAACUUUUUUAACGUGUGCUGUCUUUUGUUUUUUAAGAAGAAAAAACAAGAAGGAAACCGUGUCUGGUUAAAAGAUGGACGAUCAGCAUUGGAAUCCAAAACUUAUUGGUGAUAGAACUUAUUAAUUCCUAACUGAAAAAAAAUGGAGUGUCGAUUUCUCUUUCGAAUUGGACUUCUAUUAAAUGAGACGAAACUAAUUAAGAGAGAAAAUGAAGAAGCUAAUAAAGAAGCUUUGAAUUGCUUUUGGAAUUGCUUUUCAAAUUGCCUGCCAUUUCAUUCACAACUUCACGUAUUUAUAUAUUUCUAUAAUCUAAUAGUAGCUUUCUUAAAAUAAUAAUUAGGUUAUACCAUAAACAUUGAGGGAUGUGAUAUCCACACACCCAUUUUUAUUUCUUCCAUAUUUUUUUGGUUUUUAACCGUCUGAUCGGAUGAAUUGAAUAAGAUCAACAGACAAAAAUUAACAAAAAGCCUAUAAAAAGUAAAAAUAAGUGUGUGGAUAGCACACUCCAACAUUGAAUUGUUAGAAAGCUUGACUAAUACAAACCUUCCACUAUAUGUGGUGUUUCAAACGUAUUAGUUUAAAACCACCAAUAAAUAAAGAAUAGUAUUUGUAAUUAUCAUCGGUGUUUGUAAUCAACUAUUAUAAUUUAAUAUUGCCAAAGUACCUGUGGGCUCAUGAAUCAAUUAUUAUGGUUUAAUAUUUCCAAGGAUCCUCAUGAAUCAUUGUUUUUUUCCAUCUGACCGGAACACAAAUAGUAUACCAUGUGUUUUUAUACAAGUGGUAGAAAAUUGUAUUUUUUAAGUUAUUAACUUUUUAACACACAUAUCUCACAAUUUGUAUAAUGACACGUGGUACACCACCUCUUGUUCCCGUCACACUGGAAUUUCCCAUUUAAGAACCUUAAGCUCCUGCUCAAUUUAGGAAAGGGAUCAUCUAUGGUUCCCUUUCCACCAAAUCCAUCUAGUUUGAGAUCUGAGUUGUUGGAUUUGAUCCAACGGCUACAAACAGGAGAACCUUUUAAAAGUUAUAAUAAUCCAACGACCCAGAUCCCGAACUAGGUGAAUUUGGUAGAAAAAGAUCUGAAGAUGAUCCCUUUCCUUCAAGUUAAUUCAUGAAAUGAGGAAAUUCUAUUUCUGCCUUGUCUCGUCCAUACCACUUUCAUUUGUCUUGAACAAUAAAAAUACAUGACGUAUAAAAAAUAAGGUCCAUACAAAUUGGAUCAAACUACAAGGCAAAACAAGAUGUAAUCCAGCCUAUCAAAAAUGAGGAUGGGCUUUACGUACAUCCAUAAAUAAAAUAAAAUAAAAGAUGCAUUUCCCUACAAAAGAGGGAAGAAACAUACAAAAUCAGCGGCUCCCCCAUUUUCUACAACAAAAAGAAAAGUGGAGUCAGUUUAAGAGAAAGUGGCGAAAAGAAAGGCCUCUAUCCUCCCCCACGUAAGAACUCUGGAAACCACAGCAAAAAAAGGAGGACGAAAAAAAGAGGGAGACGCCGCAGAAAUUGAAGCACACGGGGGACAGAAAAAAGGAAGGGGAGACGCUGCAGAAAAGAGGGAGAUCGACAAAAAAAAAAGGACGAUAGAGAAGAGCACAAAGGAACAAAAAAAGGAAGAAGAGCAGGACACGGAGAAGACAGCAGAGAAGUACGGACAACAAAGAAGAACAACGCAAGAAAGCAAGGGAGAAACAUAAGGAAAAAGAAACAAAAAAAAAGAAACAGCCAAGAGCAGGAAGGUAUAAAUUUAUUUUAAAUUUGUUCUUUGUUGUUUUGUUUCCUCUCGACUUUUGCAGGAGAGAAAGAAGAAAUUUGCUUUCUUCUUCAUCUUUCACCAAAAGGGGAGAAUAAGGCUUGCUAUCGACUUCCUUUGAAAAGGCCAUCUCGUGAAAGACAAAAGGGGAAGGCCAUGGGAUCCUAACCUUUCUCAAAAUUUAUUGGGCAAGGCAUUACAAAAGAAGGAAAUGUUGCUGCCGCUUCAUCCUUCGAAAAAUAUUCCAGGAAAAAGAAGAUAGUUUUAUUCAUCAUGUAAAGUGUUGCAGCAAGCUACUAGGUGGAAAAGUCAAAAGAAAAAAGAUGUUUUCCUACUAUUAGAAAAGUCCUAACAAAGGUACACCUACAAUAAAGAGGCUAUUGGCUCUACAAAGAAACAAGACAAAAAUAUGGGCAAGUGUGUUGGGAGGAAAUCAAAGCUCCCUAACCCUUUCACGUGAUGAAGAGCAAAACAAGUUGGGAAUCCAUGCAGGUGGUUCUCUAGAAAAAGGGACAAGUUUGCUACAGAACAAAAAUUUGCCAAAGAACAAUUGAUAUAGGAUUUGAACCCCACCAAAGGAAAGUUGCGGCAAAGAGAAGAAAAAAUAAAAAGAAGGGUGGAUAAAGCUUCCUGAAAAUCACGAACCCACGUGGGAAGUUGUGAAAACUUAAAAGCAUGAAAAAAAAGUAAGCUGUUUUUGUGAAGGUUUGAAAAUUCAAAGUAGGUUCAAAAGAAAAGUAUGCAUCUCACGUGGGGAAGAAGUGUGGUUAUUGAAAUGGGAAGUCAAAUUAUUGAAAUUGGAAGACAAGUCCUAUUGGAACUUGGAAAGCUCCGAAGCCACAUCAAAAUUCAAAUGGCAUGAAGCCACCAAAUCCAAACAAAGUAACAAAUUUUUAACGAACUACGCCGGUUUGAUUCUGUUAAAGAUACGUAGGCAGUCUAAUAUCAAGUUUUAGACGCAACCGUGAAACCGAAACAAAUCUCUGGUUUAUAUAUACUAAAUUCACUCCUACCAUCAAAUACCAAAAUGGCACGAAGCCGAAGAAAAGUUUCAAAGGGCACGAAGCCGUAUCAAAGUCUCAAAUGGCAUGAAGCCAUAUCAAAUUUUCAAAUGCUCCUCGCCCGCAUGAGUUGAAAUUGCAUAAGGCACUAUGCUCCUCGCCCGCACGAGCUAAAACUGCACAAGGCAUCAAAACGCUCCAAUGGCUUAAAGUUCUCGCCCGUACGAGCUGAAACUGCACGAGGCAUCAAGACCCAAACACCAUGAACUACGAGUGACUUGAUCUCUCAAGAGGGUACGUAGGCAAUCUAGGGUUCGACCUAGGUGCAGUCACAAAAUCAAACAAACAUCAAAAUCCUCAAGUUACAUUUUAUUCGAAAUAAAAUCAAAGGGCAUUUCUUUCCCAAAAGAAGGGUUGUAAUUAAUAGGCGCAUAGCCUAGAAUGGGUUGAACUCAAAUUCAUAAAACCCUCUUCGAAAAAAUGAACGAAGGUGAAAUUGUGUCGAGUGAAUUAUUUGUUUACAUAUUAUGUACAAUUUUUGCUCAACAUAAUUUUGAGAACAAGAAGUAUGGAGACCAUGUCCUCAAAAGCCUGUCCUUCAUAAGAUCACCAAAGAAUUUGACACGUUACUGCUGCUCCAUUCUUUGAAGACAUUCUAGAAAAAAGAGGAACAAAGAAAUAGUUUUGUUCAUCACGUGGGAAUCUGCUCAUAUAAAGGAAAAGUAAGGUCGAUUGAAAUUAGAAGUCCCAUUGGAAUUGGAGACCUUUAAAGUUAAAUAAAGAAGUGUAAAGCUUGAUGUCAGAUUGGUCGUAAGUUUAGGUCUGAUGGGUUCGAAAUCACAUGUUUAAAUAGGUUUGAAAAGUUCAAAGAAGAAUAUAAAACGAGAGAGGGGAAAUGCUAACUGAAAUCAGCAACUCAUAUGGAAAAUUGCCCACGUGAAGAAGAAGAGGAAAGCUUUAAAGUCACACCAAAAAAAAGAGAAGGAUGCUUCCAUCAAAAAAAUAAACAACAAAGAACCCCGUCGCAGCCGUCGAGUGAAGAAAAAAAGGAAAAAAGGUUGUUGACGAUGAGAGGAAAGGGUGGCAAAGUUACAUUCGAACAAGUUUAAUUCACAAAAAAGGGGAGAAUAAGGCUUGCUAUCGACUUCCUUUGAGAAGACAUUCUCGUGAAAGACAAAAGGGGAAGGCCAUGGGAUCCUAACCUUUCUCAAAAUUUAUUGGGCAAGGCAUUACAAAAGAAGGAAAUGUUGCUGCCGCUUCAUCCUUCGAAAAAUGUUCCAGGAAAAAGAAGAUAGUUUUAUUCAUCAUGUAAAGUGUUGCAGCAAGCUUCUAGGUGGAAAAGGAAAAGUCAAAAGAAAAAAAGAUGAUUAGAAAAGUCCUAACAAAGGUACACCUACAAUAAAGAGGCUAUUGGCUCUACAAAAAAACAAGACAAAAAUAUGGGCAAGUGUGCUGGGAGGAAAUCAAAGCUCCCUAACCCUUUCACGUGAUGAAGAGCAAAACAAGUUGGGAAUCCAUGCAGGUGGUUCUCUAGAAAAAGGGACAAGUUUGCUACAGAACAAAAAUUUGCCAAAGAACAAUUGAUAUAGGAUUUGAACCCCCCCACCAAAGGAAAGUUGCGGCAAAGAGAAGAAAAAAUAAAAAGAAGGGUGGAUAAAGCUUCUUGAAAAUCACGAACCCACGUGGGAAGUUGUGAAAACUUAAAGGGAACUUUAACGAAAAGCUCCCGGUACUGUUCACUUUAAUGAAAAACCACAUUUUUACACUAAAAAGUCAAUCCUGGUACUAUACACUUUACCCUUUAUUUUGUCCUUAUCAUUAAAACUCAAAGUUUUCAAGCCCUUUUCAUUAGUUUUCCUAAACUUAAAAGCAUGAAAAAAGUAAAGCUUGUUUUGUGAAGGUUUGAAAAUUCAAAGUAGGUUCAAAAGAAAAGUAUGCAUCUCACGUGGGGAAGAAGUGUGGUUAUUGAAAUGGGAAGUCAAAUUAUUGAAAUUGGAAGACAAGUCCUAUUGGAACUUGGAAAGCUCCGAAGCCACAUCAAAAUUCAAAUGGCAUGAAGCCACACCAAAUCCAAACAAAGUAACAAAUUUUUAACGAACUACGCCGGUUUGAUUCUGUUAAAGAUACGUAGGCAGUCUAAUAUCAAGUUUUAGACGCAACCGUGAAACCGAAACGAAUCUCUGGUUUAUAUAAACUAAAUUCACUCCUACCAUCAAAUACCAAAAUAGCACGAAGCCAAAGAAAAGUUUCAAAGGGCACGAAGCCGUAUCAAAGUCUCAAAUGGCAUGAAGCCAUAUCAAAUUUUCAAAUGCUCAUCGCCCGCAUGAGCUGAAACUGCAUAAGGCACUAUGCUCCUCGCCCGCAUGAGCUAAAACUGCACAAGGCAUCAAAACGCUCCAAUGGCUUAAAGUUCUCGCCCGCACGAGCUGAAACUGCACGAGGCAUCAAGACCCAAACACCAUGAACUACGAGUGACUUGAUCCCUCAAGAGGGUACGUAGGCAAUCUAGGGUUCGACCUAGGUGCAGUCACAAAAUCAAACAAACAUCAAAAUCCUCAAGUUACAUUUUAUUCGAAUUGGAAUCAAAGGGUAUUCUUUUCCCAAAAGAAUGGUUGUAAUUAAUAGGCGCAUAGCCUAGAAUGGGUCGAACUCGAAUUCAUAAAACCCUCUUCAGAAAAAUGAACGAGGGUGAAAUUGUGUCCAGUAAAUUGUUAGUUUACAUAUUAUGUACAAUUUGUGCUCAACAAUUUGCAAGAAAGUUGUCUUUUCUUGCCAAUGCAAAAAUUUUAAUACUUCCAAUGUCUUGUUUCAUUCAUGGACCUUUUGCUCCAAGAUAAUGUCGUCUCUCAAGCAUCUUCUUGCUCCGUCCUUAAGUCAUCAACUGAAGGGAGACGAGUGUCUUCGUCAGGAUCAUCAUCCAACAGAGAUGGUUCAAAGAGCUUCAAAUUCUCGGCAUUGAUAAUUGAGUACAUAACCAUGCACUGUGGUACAUCGAGUUGGAAGACAUUAUCACCAGUUUGUUUGAUGAUUUUGAACGGUCCAUAACUGAUAGCCUUGCGUUUUUUUCCUUCUCCUUGUAACCGCUCCUUACCAAGGUGUAAUCAUAUUAUGUCGCCUUUUCUUUGAAGUUGCAUGACAAACGAUGCUUGUCAUGACGACCUUUUAUAUCGCUAUUGAGAUUGUUGCAGUCGUGCGUCCACUUCAGGAUGAAUCUUUUUAAUUCGUUCAAUCAAAAUGUGUUUAGGUGCGUUGAUGGGAAGCGGCACCAUCCUCUCUAGUUCGAGCGACUCCUCAACAAUGGAAUAUUGUGAGUGGAUCCCUUCUUAAAUUGCAUGUUUUUAUAAAUUAUUAGGCUUGCAUGCAUUGCAUAUUUUGUGUUUUAUAUUAUGUUUUACGGAUUUCCAUAUUUAUGAAUUAUUUAAAUUGUUUUUACGAAAUAUUUAUGAUUUAUCGAGUUUGCGUUUUAUUAAAGGUUAUGAAUUAUUGGAUUCUCGUAUAUGCAAUUCUAUUUUCAAAUAUGGAAUCUACGGAUUUAUGAAUAUGCGUUAUCAUGGAUUUAUGAAACAAGGCUUUGAGCUUGUGAGCUUCGGAUUUGAUAUGAGUUUUUGAGGUAUGUUUUUUGUGCUUAUCUAUCAUACAUCACAUCCACACAACAUUGGUAUGAAGACGUCUAUGGCCAUAGGACACUAUUGAGAAGAUUUAUGAUAUACCCCUAGCUUUACUGGCGAAACCAGUAUCGAACAGCUUCACUAGCCACGGCUAGUGUCGGUGUGUGAUGUUAUAUAUUUAUUCUCUGGCAUAACCUAGAGUUGUACAGCUUCACAUUUGGGUGAUGGGGCUUACCAUGUUUCUUCAUUGGCGCAACCUAGUGUUGUACAGCUUCACCUUCGGGUAAUGGACAUGUAUUGCCUUCGGGUGAUUAUGAUACCCCUAGAGAGACAUACCAAAAUAAAAAGGAUAAAAUUAUUUUAACUUAAUUAGAGAGACAGACCAUUAGUUCACUCCAAAACAUCAAUAUUAUCUUAACUUAAUCAUCAAUUUCUAAGUAUUAAAUUUCAGGAUAAUAUGGGACUAAAUGUCAUUGACAAUAAACUUUAUUAGAAGUCGAACCGUAGACUUAUGGGACUAUAUUCUAUUUUCUUAAUAUGGGACUACAUUCAACACCAAUUCCCAUUCCAUAUCGCUCAUACCGCUCUCCUCGGCUCCGCCCGCCUAUACAGAGAGAGGGAGAGAGAGAGACAGCUGGUAAAAAGAGAUAAGGAAGAGAAAUAAGCAGCAAUCCAUCAAUGGCGGCGAGUACAGAGGAAGUGAUCAGCAACAAGCAGGUGCUACUGAAAGACUAUGUGACCGGCUUCCCCAAAGAAUCUGACAUGCAACUCACCGCCGCCACCACCAAGCUCAAGCUUCCAGAAGGUUCAAAAGGGGUUCUGGUGAAGAACCUCUACUUGUCCUGCGACCCUUAUAUUAGAAACCGCAUGACCAAGCGUGAACCUGGCCCCAGUUUUACGGAUUCCUUCAAACCCGGUUCGGUCAGUCACCAUAUGUGCCCUUUCCCUUUUGUUCAAGUUUGAAAGUUCGCUUCCUUAUGAUCUAUCAUGUAAUAUUAGUAUUGAAUAAUGUGACCGAGUAGCCCAAGUACUAAUCUUGUUGGACAGAUAGCCUCGUUUUUCGGAUUACAAUUUGUUGAUGUUUGGGAUGAUUUAAUGAUUUACAGUUUGAGACAACUUAGGUAUUCGAUGUUGUACUAUCUCUUUAUUUACCGUUAGAUAUUGAAAUUUGAAAUGAUGUGGCAGCCUAUAGUCGGAUAUGGAGUUGCCAAAGUUUUGGAAUCCGGAGAUCCCAAGUUUAAGCAAGGCGACUUCAUUUGGGGAAUAACCGGGUGGGAAGAGUACAGUGUUAUCACUGCAACAGAGUCUUUGUUUAAGAUUCAGCACACUGAUGUGCCUCUCUCUUACUAUACUGGAAUUCUUGGUAUGCUACUAUAUAUUAGCUAUUGCUAUUUCCCUCGCGUUCGGAUUUAUUUCAUUUAAAAAUUUGUUCUGCCACAAGGAUCUAGCCUAUCUCAACUCUUGUAUCUAUUAUGAUGGUACCCGUUGAAUGAAAUUUGCGAAUCAUUUUUGUGGGACAUGGAUUGUAUUGAAUUCAUGUUGCAUGUUUGAGUACCGUAAUUUACCAUUGGACUAUUCUCGUGCUGAAUUCAGGAGUGAAUUGAUUGUGUCGUAAUAAUCUUCUUCUUAAAAAAAGUAGCAUUCCCUUACGGAAGGAUUCUGUAUGGUUGUAUCUCUAGUUGUAUUCUGCCUCCAGUGACCUCUAUCAUACUACAAAUGUGAACUGAUUUGUUGAUUCUCACGGCUCUUUGUAAACUAUAUCUUCACAAACCGAUGCAACAUAUUCCUUUUCAUAAUAGCAUUUUGAUUUGGAAGUACGGAAAUGAUUUAGCUUACAUAAUCAAUUGGUCCUAUGCAUCUGUAGCAUUGUUCUUUGAUUGUAUGCAAUUGCUGAAGUGAUCCAUCCUUAAUAAUUCAACCAAAUAUUUAGUUUUAUGGGUUUGUAAUGCAUGAUAUAUUUACUUGAUGCUACGCUCAUCUAAUGUAUUCAUUUUAUAUAGGUAUGCCUGGAAUGACUGCUUAUGCUGGUUUUUAUGAGGUCUGCAAUCCUAAGAAGGGAGAGACGGUCUUCAUUUCAGCAGCAUCUGGGGCGGUAGGUCAGCUUGUUGGCCAAUUUGCAAAGUCGUUGGGUUGCUAUGUUGUUGGAAGUGCUGGAAGCAAAGAAAAGGUCAGUUAUUGCAAAUUUAGUGGUCGAUGUCAACUAUAUCUUCUGUGAUUGUGACUCAAUCGGAUGAUUAUUCUUGGUUUAGAAAUAUGUAUUAAGUGAUGUAUGCCAAAUUGGCAACAGUGAAAUUUUGACUAAUAGAAAAGGGGAAAAUUACGAGAACUUAUUGGAAUGUACAGAUAUUGGUGACCCUUUAUCUUCAUAACCAAGUGCGUAAAAUUCAGCUUUGACCUGUUUUCAACCUCCUGCCUCAUUUAGUUGGCAAAUUGUUCGUAUCAUAUGAUACCGCAAGCAUAUGCUACUUAGUAAAUUACAGAGAAAUGCGCAUCUAUGAGCUUUUUUGGUCUCAUUCCUACAGUUUUCCGUAUUUCAAAUGACAAUGUUUUAACCAUUCUUGCUGUAUUUUAACAUGUUAUAUCAUUUCUGAGGUUAGGUUGAUCUGCUGAAGAACAAGUUUGGGUUUGACAAAGCUUUCAAUUAUAAAGAAGAGCCUGAUUUGGAUGCAGCUUUAAAAAGGUCAGUAUUUAUAUGUUGAUCAGAAUCAAACUAUUAUUUUAAAGCUUUUACAUGUGUCUUAAUUACGAGGGGAAAGUCCAAUAAAGGCAUUAGCAAUCUCUAAAGUCAUGCUUUAGUGAUUUAGUCCCCAAUUCCUAAAACAGAGAAAAAGUAAGUUGAAAUGUGACGGUGGGAGCAUGUGGCUGUUGAAGAGAUACUCACGUCUUUGUCCUCUUUGUAGAUAUAUUCCAUGGUUUUCGGUGUUUGCUUAUGGUCUAAAUAUGUGAUUUGCUUACCAGAUACUUUCCUGAAGGCAUCGACAUAUACUUUGAAAACGUUGGGGGAAAAAUGCUUGAUGCAGUGCUACAAAACAUGAGGCUCCAUGGCCGGAUUGCAGUUUGUGGGAUGGUCUCGCAGUAUAACCUUGACCAGCCUGAAGGUUGUCACAAUUUAAUGUAUCUGAUCAUUAAACAGAUUCGCAUGCAAGGUUUCUGGGUUUCUAGUUACUACCACCUUUACGGAAAGUUUCUUGAAAUGGUUCUGCCGGCCAUAAAAGAAGGGAAGAUAACUUAUGUGGAAGAUGUAGUGGAAGGCCUUGAGAGCGCUCCAGCUGCUCUGAUAGGGCUCUUUGCCGGCCGCAAUGUGGGAAAGCAGGUGGUGGUAGUUUCCCGAGAAUGAUUUCAUUAGGCUCUCCAUGGCUCCGAAGUCUCAACCUUUAGCUAUAUGGUAUAGGGUAUAAUCGUCUACUAUGAAAUGCAAAUGCUUUCUUAUACAUUUACAAGUUUAUCUCUCUACAGGUUUGUGGCAAGCUUAUUAUCCCGAUGAGGACUGUGCUUGAUCCCUCACCUUAAUUUUAAAUAAAUGUCUUGAUUUGCUUAAUGAUAUCAAGCACCAAGUCUAGUAGAUCUUUCAAUUACGUUUUCUUUUUUUUCCAACCUGACCCGCUUUGUCAACUGGUUGACGUGGUAUUUAUGGUGAAUAAACCAAACACAGCGUUAAGCUAAAAGAUAACGCGAACACAAUCUGUUAAAGUGGUCCACCUUUUAUCAACAUGACAUGUUAAUGCUCAAUCAAGAAAUUCAAAUUUUAUGUCACCAAUAAGAAAUUAAAUAAUAUGUCACCAAUAAGAAAUAAUCUCCUUUUUAAUAAACAAUAGGAUAUGGAAAAACUUUUUUAACAUGUGCUGUCUUUUGUUUUUUAAGAAGAAAAAACAAGAAGGAAACCGUGUCUGGUUAAAAGAUGGACGAUUAGCACUGGAAUCCAAAACUUAUUAGUGAUAGAACUUAUUAAUUCCUAACUUUAAAAAAAUGGAGUGUCGGUUUCUCUUUCGAAUUGGCCUUCCAUUAAAUGAGACGAAACUAAUUAAGAAAGAAAAUGAAGAAGCUAAUAAAGAAGCUUUGAAUUGCUUUUCAAAUUGCCUACCAUUUCAUUCACAACUUCACGUAUUUAUAUAUUUCUAUAAUCUAAUAUUAGCUUUCUUAAAAUAAUAAUUAGGUUUUAUACCAUAAACAUUGAGGGGUGUGAUUUAUUUCUCCCACAUUUUUUUGAUUUUUGACCUUCGGAUCGGAUGAAUUGAAUAAGAUCAACGAACAGAAAUUAACAAAGAAUGUGUAAGAAGUAAAAAAGGGUGUGUGGAUAACACACCCCAACAUUGAAUGGUUAAAAAGCUUGACUAAUACAAACCUUCACUAUAUGUGGUGUUUCAAACGUAUUAGUUUAAAACCACCAAUAAAUAAAGAAUAGUAUUUGUAAUUAUCAUCAGUGUUUGUAAUCAACUAUUAUAAUUUAAUAUUGCCAAAGUAACUGUGGGCUCAUGAAUCAAUUAUUAUAGUUUAAUAUUUCCAAGGAUCCUCAUGAAUCAUUGCUCCCCCAUUUAAGGAAAUUUUUUUCCAUCUGAUCAGAACACGAAUGGUAUACCAUGUGUUUUUAUACAAGUGGUAAAAAAUUGUAUUUUUUAAGUUAUUAACUUUUUAACACACAUAUCCUACCAUUUGUAUAAUGACACGUGGUGCACCACCUCUUGUUCCCGUCACACUGAAAAAUCUCUCCCAUUUAAGAACCUUAAGCUCCUGCUCAAUUUAGGAAAGGGAUCAUCUCUGGAUCCCUUUCCACCAAAUCCAUCUAGUCUGGGAUCUGAGCUGUUGGAUUUUGAUCAAACGGUUACAAACAGGAGAACCCUUUAAAAGUUAUAAUAAUCCAACGACCCAGAUUCCGAACUAGGUGAAUUUGGUAGAAAAAGAUCCGGAGAGGAUCCCUUUCCUUUAAGUUAAAUCAUGAAAUGAGGAAAUUCUAUUUCUGCCUUGUCUCGUUCAUACCACUUUGAUUUGCUAGAAAGUUGUAUUUUCUUGCCAAUGCAAAAAAUUUCAUACUUCCAAUGUCUUGUUUCAUGGACCUUUUGCUCCAAGAUAAUGUCGUCUCUAAAGCAUCUUCUUGCUCCAUCCUUAAGUCAUCAACUGAAGGGAGACGAGUGUCUUCGUCAGGAUCAUCAUCCAACAUAGAUGGUUCAAAGAGCUUCAAAUUCUCGGCAUUGAUAAUUGAGUACAUAACCAUGCAUUGUGGUACAUCGAGUUGGAAGACAUUAUCACCAGUUUGUUUAAGGAUUUUGAACGGUUCGUAACUGAUAGCCUCGCGUUUUUUUCCUUCUCCUUGUAAUUGUAAUCAUAUUACGUCGCCUUUUCUUUGAAGUUGCAUGACAAACGAUGCUUGUCAUGACGACCUUUUAUAUCGCUAUUGAGAUUGUUGCAGUCGUGCUUCCACUUCGGGAUGAAUCUUUUUAAUUCGUUCAAUCAAAAUGUGUUUAGGUGCGUUGAUGGGAAGCGGCACCAUCCUCUCUAGUUCAAGCGACUCCUCAACAAUGGAAUAUUGUGAGUGGACCCCUUCUUAAAUUGCAUGUUUUUAUAAAUUAUUAGGCUUGCAUGCAUUGCAUAUUUUGUGUUUUAUAUUAUGUUUUACGGAUUUCUAUAUUUAUGAAUUAUUUAAAUUGUUUUUACGAAAUAUUUAUGAUUUAUUGAGUUUGCGUUUUAUUAAAGGUUAUGAAUUAUUGGAUUCUCGUAUAUGCAAUUCUAUUUUCAAAUAUGGAAUCUACGGAUUUAUGAAUAUGCGUUAUCAUGGAUUUAUGAAACGAGGCCUUGAGAGCUUGUGAGCUCCGGAUUUAAUAUGAGUUUUUGAGGUAUGUUUUUGGUGCUUAUCUAUCAUACAUCACAUCCACACAACAUUGGUAUGAAGACGUCUAUGGCCAUAGGACACUGUUGAGGAGAUUUAUGAUAUACCCCUAGCUUCACCGGCGACCAGUAUCGAACAGCUUCACUAGCCACGGCUAAUGUCGGUGUGUGAUGUUAUAUAUUUAUUCUCUGGCAUAACCUAGAGUUGUACAACUUCACAUUCGGGUGAUGGGGCUUACCAUGUUUCUUCAUUGGCGUAACCUAGUGUUGUACAGCUUCACCUUCGGGUGAUGGACAUGUAUUGCCUUCGAGUGACUAUGAUAGCCCUAGAGAGAGUACAUAAUUGAUGAGAUUUACGGAUUUGCCUUUAGGCGAAGAUAUUACCAUUGUUUGAUUUACGAGAUUCAUGGAUUUGUCUUCAGGCGGCUAUAUUAGCACGGAUUCACAUACACAUGUUUUACAAAUGAUUUUCAUGGUAUGCUAGAGUUUUCAAAAAACCUACUAUAUAGUAUUAUUUAUGUGUUCAAAACAGGGAGUUAGUAUAUUCGGAAAGAAAAUGGUUUUCUUAUUAUUAGUAUUAUUAUUAUAAACUUUAGUCCACUCACCUUUUGUUUUGCGCCCCCUUAGGAGUUAGAAUCGAGGCACACGAUCCCGGUAUCAGGGCACUUCUGCUUAGGAAUCUCGAGCCUUUUCUGUGUAGGACCUAUUCCUCGGUUCGUACUUUUCCAUAAUAAUUCAUUCACAUUAUUCUUAAUUAGUUGUAUGCUCUGAACAUAGUUUUGCAUUAGAAUAUUCUUUCUAACCACAUAUUUUAAUUUGCAUGCAUGUUAAAAUGGUUUCGUCACUCUCGAGUGUCGAUCAACACGUGCCUAUCUGGGUAUCUGGGGAUAUUGGGUCGGGGCGUGUCAUGGAAAUCCAAUGGCCAAAAAUAUUGUCGUUGGAAAUCCAACGAUCCAUAUAAAGCCAUGCCCCACCACCCCCUAGAUCAGCUGAGUGCGCCUGUGGUGAGGCCCCAACUCUGUUUUUCUGUCAGCUCCCUGACUGAAGAAAAAAAAUAUAUCCAUGUGACUGAUGCCAUGCUGACGUCAAAUUCACCUAGUCAGUGGGCUAAUCAGUUCGAGCACGUGUGGUCUGUCAGGCACUCAGGCUCCCCCAAAGCUCAGUGGAUUGAAUACUGUUAACGCUCAAAAUUUGCUAGUCAAACCAAGACAAAAUUUGCAAACGAAAUAAUGUAUUACUAAUAUGAAUAUUAAUGUUUAAGUAAUAAAUCAAUUAUCAAUUUUUCAUAACCUUUGGUUUUUGAAAUUUUAUCUACACAUUUAGUCUCCCGGCCUUACUUUGGCGUGGACAUGCUGUAACCAGAGCACAUCGAGUCGCCCAAGCGGACAUGGACACACGUGUCACGCAUACCAACCGGCCAAAGCCGUUCACAUCGCUGAUUGCUCACAUUGCAUUUACACAUUCGGCGAUCGGCUCUGUUUGUAAGAAGCGAAGCAAAUUCAGUAGAAAAAGAAUAAAAAAUGGAAGUGACGAGCAACAAGCAGCUGAUACUCAGAGACUAUGUCACUGGCUUCCCCAAAGAAUCCGAUAUGCAAUUAGUCACCGCCGCAGCCACCAAGCUGAAGCUUCCAGAAGGUUCCACUGGGGUUUUGGUGAAGAACCUCUACUUGUCCUGCGACCCUUAUAUGAGAGACCGCAUGACCAAGCGCGAACCCGGCGGCAGUUAUGUCCCCUCCUUCGUGCCCGGUUCGGUCAGUUCUUCAUCCAUCUCUGAUCUCCCUAACUUGUUUUUAUUUUUAGAAUUUUUAGCAUUAAUUUCUGUAUAUUUACAAAUGGGGCUGAAGGAUUGAGAACUUUUCUCUUCUGGGUCCUCCUCACAAUUUCACCUUGGUGUCUGAAUAUCUCUGCUUUACAAUAUACUCGGAUUAAUUCAAGCUUGCAUUUUUGUGAUGAACGUAAUGUCAUUUUUCUUGGCCAAACAAAGAAGCUUGCAUUUUUGUGCCUAUUUAGUAUUGUAGAAUUAUAUUUUGUUACUAGUAAUUAUCGCAUCGAAGAUAUUGAAAUGCUGUGGACUGGCAGCCUAUAACCGGAUACGGAGUGGCUAAAGUUUUGGAAUCGGGGGAUCCCAAUUUCAAGGAAGGCGACUUUGUUUGGGGGAUGACCGGGUGGGAAGAAUAUAGUCUCAUCACUGCCACACAGGCCCUGUUUAAGAUUCACGAUACCGAUGUCCCACUCUCUUACUAUACUGGAAUUCUAGGUAUGUUUCUAGUGCUAUUUUCACCAAAUUUUGAAGUUGAUGUCUCCGGAAAAUUGCUUCUGCGGCACAUAGCUAGCUAUCUGAAAUUUAUAAUCUCAUAUGUUUGUAUUUGACUAAUGAAACUUGAGUGUGAAUUUCGCAAGUCUUGAAUGAAAAUGGUAGAUAAAUUGGUUCGCAUAUGUCACGUAUUGUUAUAUGCUGAGUGACUUGACUCCAAUUUUCAUUCUAAAAUCAGAAGUUUAAGGACAGUGUCAAAAUCUGCAUUUUUGAUGAAUGGUCUUCUCUCAUGAAAGGAUCUCCGCAUUUCGAUUUCUAGUUGUAUCUUUUCUGCAUUGACCGAUAUGAUAUUGACAAUGAAUUGCUUUUGCUCAAUUCUGACACUCUUUAGUAGUGUAGUAAGGAACUUGAUUGCCAUCAAACUUUUUUUUUUUCCAAUUAGUCAUGCAGUAAAGCGGGAGCCUUGUGCACUGGGUACGACCAGUCAUGCAGUAACUUACCUGCCUUGAUGUGUACUAUUCUUCUUGAUAGAAUGUGAUUGAUAGAGUAAUCCAUUCUAAUCAAAUUUAAACUGUCAUGAAACAUAUUUUGGUAAUAUGUAAGCCUUAAAAUUUAUAUGCAUGAUAUGUCCUGCUUGAUGCUCAAGGCUCAUCUAAUUUAUUUGUUUGAUGUAGGUAUGCCUGGUAUAACUGCUUAUGCUGGUUUUCAUGAGGUUUGCACGCCAAAGAAAGGAGAGACAGUCUUCAUUUCUGCCGCAUCUGGAGCAGUAGGUCAGCUAGUUGGGCAAUUUGCGAAGUUGUUGGGUUGCUAUGUUGUUGGGAGUGCUGGAAGCAAAGAAAAGGUGAGUCAUUGCUAUUGGGUAAUCAAUAGGAAAUUAGGAAUUAAUACAUUAAUUGGCAAUUCAUAGCUGUGACUCAGAAUAUUCUUGUAAAGGCAUGUCUGUAUGACGAUUUUUUGUGGUUCGCAAAUUUUGGAAAAUGAAACAGAACAUCUUGUGCUGAUGUACAAAUGGUGUUGGUGACCAAUAAUUUUUUUUAUCAUCAUUGCCAUCAAAUGUGUUAAACGCGUUUACUUUUAUUCUUCAACAUGCUGGAGUCAAUUGAAGCACUUCAAUGAUAUAUAUUUGUAUGCCUUUUCUGCGAGUGAAGGUUGAUCUGCUGAGGAACAAGUUCGGGUUUGAUGAGGCUUUCAAUUAUAAAGAAGAACCUAACUUGGAUGCUGCCUUAAAAAGGUCAAUCCUAUAUAUCUGUGUAAUAUGUUUUAACUUUUGAUCAGAAUCAGAACUUUAUGAAUGGUGAUAAGGGGCAUUUUUGUUUCUAAUUUUAAUCUGCUGAAGCCAUACUGAGUUUUUCAUGUGCCAACGAUACAACCCCUUUUCUGAAAGGCUUUAACAUCAAUAACAAAACUUAAGAUCUAAUCCCCAAUCUUUCGAAAGAGAGAGAAGAUUAGAAAAUGAAAGGUUCUUGAGUAUGUGACGUUGAUUUUCCACUUCCUAUAUAUUGCUUAAACAUUGGGCUAAACAUGUACAUUGGGAAUGUGUAAUUUACGUAACAGGUACUUUCCUGAAGGCAUCGAUAUAUACUUUGAAAAUGUUGGGGGAAAGAUGCUCGAUGCAGUCCUACUAAACAUGAGGACGAAUGGCCGAAUCGCAGUUUGUGGGAUGAUCUCGCAGUACAACCUUGAGCAGAAAGAAGGCGUGCAUAAUUUAACGUCAAUGAUCUCUAAACAGCUCCGUAUGCAAGGUUUCGUGGCUUCUAGUUUCUAUCAUCUCUACGGGAAGUUUCUUGAAACUGUACUACCAUUCAUAAAAGAAGGGAAGAUAACAUA